AUUUUUAGAUUUGAACUUUGGAACUCCAUGAACACCGACGAGCUUUUAUAUGAAAUUUUUAGAUCUAUUUUCUGGAUUGGGAGCAACUUUCGCUAAUGUUUUGAAGAGUUCCAUAUGGCAAAAAACUGAAGCUCAUGGGUUUAAAAUGUGAACCAUUACCUUGAAACUUCCAUUGAAGUUGGUUCAAAAGGCUUGGGUUCAAAUUCGAUUGCCACAAACGAGUACGGUUUUGAAUGGAUAAUAUAUCAAAAAAAUCGAAACGUCGAGAAAAGCUUAUAUCUAAAAUUUAGCGUGAUUUAAAGAAGUUAUAAGAUGACUUUGCAUCAAUUAUUGAGAGCAACAGGAUGAAGAAGAUGAAGAAAUGGCACUGCCUUUUCAGAUUUGCAGGAAUUUGACCCGUUGUUAAAAUCAGUUGAAAUUUUAUUCCGUAGAUCUGUUGGGUAUUAAAUAUAGAAUUAAAAAUUUCCUUAGUAUUGCAAUUUAUUAAAGAAAAUUAGUUGAGUGUCACUAUAUUAAGCAUAUUGAAGCUUGAAUUUUGCUUUGAUUUGGAAGAUUUUUGGUGCAUAGUUGUUGAUUGUGGAGAAUGAUGGAUGAAAUUGCUAUAUACGAUUUGUGGUGCAUCGAUUGACAUAGUUAAGAGUGAAGACAAUUGUUUCAAGAUGGUGAGGGGUGAUGAAAUUUAAUGGCAGCUAGUUGCUGGGAAGAAGAAAGCAAAUUAUCAGUGAGAUAAGCAUAAUUAAGAAAAAAAGAGGAAACAAUAAAAAUUAUGAAAAGAAACAUUAAAAAUAAAAAUCUAAUAGAGUAUUUAUUUUUGAUCUUCACCCUCUCAAAGAGAGUGAUAUACACUCACUUUGCCAGGUAAGUGUUUAGGGAGGUAAUAAUUUCAAUUUUAAACAAUUUAAG
rnacentral:lncRNA from 1 species